GGGCUGAACCAAGAGCAUCUGAACGGGUCUGGCCGAUCCCAGGCAGCUGGGGAAGGACACCUCGGUGUACUGAGCAGAGCUGGAAGAACACCAGCGCUGGGAUGAGUCAGAUACUCUCAGAGUGUGUAGUGAGUCAGAAUCAGUGCCCCCACUCCCCUAGCUGUAGCAAAAAAACAAAAAAUAAAAAGGAAAAGAAAAAAGGAAGGUAUUAAAGGACACACCACAAACCCCCUCCCCGUGACCCUUCGUACCCUGAGUGUUGUGGACCCUGCCUAUUCCAAGGAGGCACAGACCAGAGGCCAUAAUGUAAGCGAUGGCCAGAGGUGAAACCAGCAAAUCCAACCUCAACCCUAACUCUGACAUGAUGGACAGCAAGAAAGGGGACAGGUUUUGUUUUAGGUCCACCCAACAGAAAGAAUUACAAGAUAAGGCUCAGAAGCCCUAUCUAAAGCCUGCAAUCUAAAGCCUGCAAUGACCGCACGGAUGCCUGUAGUCCAGGGUCAAGCUGUGGAACAAGAAGCCUGAAGACAGAGUUGUGAGACUGUCUCAUUAAUUUUUGUAAUUCUCACUGGGUCUAUUGUUCUGUCACACAAAAAAUAAUGGUCAUAAUCAUGAUGAUGAUGAGGAUGAUAAUGGUAAUAAUGUAAUUGCAAACAUCCCGAGUGCUUCCUAUAUGCCAAACACUGUGCUAAGAGCUCCAUGCAUUCACAUGUUGCUUCAUUUAAGUUUUACAACUCUGUCGGGUAGCUUCUCUUUUAAACUUGAUUACAGAUAAGAGAAUUAAGGCAAAACUUUUCUCUGGAAGAUGCAGAAGACAUCUGUUUGCUUGUUCAUCUGAGUUUCAGCAUCAUAUAAAAAUUUGGGAAACAAAAAUGGAAUAAAAAAUGUCAUGUUUCUAGAUGGUGCUAGAAAGUAGAUGUUGAGGGAAAAGAAGAAGAAAACUAAUAUUAUUUGAAUAUUAUGAUGUGCCAAGCACCUUUACACAUAUGAUUUUGUUUAAUCUUAAUUUUGCAGAUGAAAAAAAUAGAAGAUUAGAGAGUUAACGUAAGUUGAGCCCCCAAAUGCCUGACUCUAAAGUCCGCAUUCUUUUCGUUCUAUCAUGGAAUUCUGGCUCUGUCACUUACUACCCAUCUGUGACUUUUUUUAUUUUUUUAUUUUUUGAGACAGAGUCUUGCUCUGUGGCCCAGGCUGGAGUGCAGUGGUGUGAUCUCGGCUUACUGCAACCUCCACCUCCUGGGUUCAAGAGAUUCUCCUGCUUCAGCCUCCCAAGUAGCUGGGAUUACAGGCACGUGCCACCACGCCCAGCUAAUUUUUGGAUUAGUAGAGACGGGGUCUCACCAUGUUGGCCAGGCUGGUCUUGAACUCCUGACCUCAAGUGAUCUGCCCCCCUCAGCCUCCCAAAGUGGUGGGAUUACAGGUGUGAGCCACCGCGCCCGGCCCCAUCUCUGACAUUUUUAAAACUUUGGGGCUGUAACAGUAAAAUGGAGAUUCAAAGCCUGACCACCUACCCCCAAGGAUGUUUUAAGAAAUCAUGUGAAGUAAUCGAGGUGUUUGACAAAAAUGAAAUAGGCAUGGAUAUUGAGAGCAAAUAAUCCAAAUUUGAAUGAAGGAGAUAUGAGCAUAACUAUGAUACAAAAUGUUAGGCGUCAUUAUACUUGUUUGAGCAAAAUGCCUGCAGCACAGAAAAGAGUUAUUGCUGUUGCCUGGGUGAGCCAUGGAAGAGCCCACAGAGAAAGUGACAUUUGAGCUAAGCUCAAAUGAGGAGGGUUUCAUUAGGUUAAAAAAAGAAAAACAAAUAGGGAAGUUGAGGAAGGGCAUUUUAAGGAGAGGCCACAGUGGAGGCAAAGGAAUGGAGGUGUGAGAGCUUGUGAUAUGUCCAGGGCGCAGUGAGCUGUAGAGAAUGCCAGAGGACCAUGUGCCCUGGGAUUGGCAGACGGCGAGCCUGGCAUGACUGGACCAGAUUUAGAAGGGCCUUGAAUGCCACCCUGAGGCCUUUGCAUUUAAUUCUGUAGGCAACUGGGAGCCACCAAGGGUGAUUACCCAAAGAAUCCAUAAGGACAAAGAGUCUGAACAGGGCCUUUUGCCAUUCUGUUCUUGUGAUGAUCACAAAGUCCCAUGUUCAGAACAUCACAGUCUGUUGCCAUGGAAAUAGUAAUGGGCCUCACUAUGGGAAUAAAUUAUCCUCAUCAUUAUACCUUUCUUCCAAGGAACUCAAAGUGUUUGUUGUAUGUGUUUUCUUUUCUUUCUUUCUUUCUUUUUUUUAAAUAGAAGCACCAGAUGGUGGUUAAGGGAAAGAAGAAAGCCUAAAGACUGUUGAAUUAAAGGAGAUUUCAAAGGAAUGGAAGGAAAAACACAAGUUGAAUUUUGAAAGGUUUAAUCAAAACAGAUGGCAGAAUAUCUCAGCCUGAGGGAAGGGGAAAACUGUCUCAGAAGCCAUCUGAUUUAGGAGCUUCUUCACCCUGGCUUCCUGGGUCCCUGUCUGCUCCCGCCUGCAGGCUGACUGUUCAAACUGGUUAAUGAGGAAGGAAAGGUGUGUGUGUGCACACGCAUGCAUGUGUGUACCAGAUAAUAGAUAUGCCAGACACAAGAAUUAACAUUGUCAAAAUGCCCUUUUAAUUAGAGUUCUAUAAAUACUGUUUAUUAUGCAUGGAAUCUUUAUUUUCAGAUUGAUUUUUUUUAAUAAUCAACAAAGUUUUAUUAUCUUCACAAAAUUGUAUCUGCUGUUUCCACUCGGGGUAGAAGAAGGAAACUAUUGUUUGUGCUUAUCUAAUUUGCACACACUUUCCUGUAUCACUUUUUUAUUUUUAUUUAUUUAUUUAUUUUGAGACAGGGUCUCACUCUGCUGGAGCGCAGUGGUGCCAUCAUAGCUGACUGCAGCCUCGAACUCCUGGGCUCAAGCGACCCUCCCACCUCAGCCUUCUGACUAGCUGGAACUACAGGCAUGUGCCACCAUGCCCAGCUA
rnacentral:lncRNA from 10 species